UUCCGACGGUCCAGAUCGGCCCCCCGCGAAAGCCUUCAAAGAAAACCUCAUCUAUGCCUCUUCACCGGCUGCGGUUUGCUCUGUGCGAAAGCAAAGCCUUAUACACGCCCCAAACCCUCCCCCUUGCCACCACGAUCAUCUCGCCCUCGCAAAUUAGCGCAGUUAUCUCCUUUCUCUCCUCCCAAAUCCUCCCGCGGGCGUAGGUCUGGCUUCGAUUUCCCUGGGCAAAUGAGUGUUUGUGCGUGUCCUUGGGUAAAAUUGAGGUUUUGCCAGUGCUCGUAGCUGUGCGAGAACGUUCGUGCGUGCUGUGUGAAGGGGGUUUUCGUUGUUAUGAGUUAAGCACGGUGUCGAUGGACGUGCGCAUUUCGUUAUUUUUGGUGAUUGUCUAAGUGCCAAGAUUCCUCUUUAUUUGAUCAUGUUUCUGUAUCUUGUCGAAGAUUUGUUGCGAGUUUAUGCCAUUGCGUAAUUGUAAGUGAAAGAGAAGAUAGAGAAAGCGAGGACUUUCACCUAGGUUUGGUGGAGGUGUCGCGACCAUGGUGGAACAGUUAGAGUGUUGUUAGCUGCGUGCAAAAGGAAUGAACGUUUUGUGCGUGGGUAUGAGUCAUCGAUUAAGGUACUUCUCAUCGGAAACAAGUAUCGAAAUACCGUGAUUUAGAGCAUACGGUGCCAAGGUUGAUUAAAAUUCAUGUGACAGAUAAUGAAUUUUAUCUGUCCUAUGAAUCACAAUAUUAAUUCUUUUUUCUAUUCAAGCUUUUUCUUUUUCAUUUUUUCUUUUGUGUUCAUUGUUGAAGUGCCUCAAUUCUUUGGAUCUGCAUACGUUGAAACUCUUAGCGUAGCAGGUCCCAUUAUUUUCUCUUGGUGAAAGUUGCUUGUUAUAGCUAUGCAAAGUAUUUCAUGCAAAAUAUUUCUUAUUUCUUGGUCUAUGUUUCAUUACAUUGUUAUCUUGCCUCCCAAGACGAAUGAAAUAGGUGCAGUAGAAAUGUUAUGCUGAAUAUUUUGCUUUUGCAGUGAUGUAGGUUCAUGUUUUGGAUGUUAAAUUGAGUGGAGAUAGAUCAGUAUGAAGCUGAGGGUGGUAUGUAGGAAACUUUAUGAUUAUGUUCGUUAUGAUCUAAAGGAAAUUGCUUUUCCUUCCUCUCUGCCUGACCCCCCACAUAUCAAGAAACGAAGGAAACUUACAUGGAGAGAGCGAUGGUAUGUCUUGAAAGAAGCAUCUAGACUUUACGCUGCUAGCUGGGUGCGGGAUAUUGGUCCCGAUCUUAGACCAAAUGACUAUAAAAAGGUCACAAAUGAUGAUGGUGGACUUCGUCAAGAUAACACUACAUCUGCAAGAAGAGAACAAUCAACAUUGGAAGAUCUUGCAGUGGCAGCUCGAGGUGGAAUGGAGACAUUAAGGCCUGCUCUGCAGCGUGUGUAUAUGAUGCGUGCCUCAGCAUACAAAGAUGCACUUAAAAGCUUUAUACAAGGGUACCAGGAAGGGAUAAAGCAAGUCAUGGAAGGAAAGGAAGGUGAAAAGUCUCGGGCGCAAGAGAACGAUGUAAAGAAGUCUAGUUGAUAUCUUUUCACCAAGAAAGUUUGUCAGAUGUGCCAGAUACACUGGGUCUCAUUAUUCAAGCUCUUCCUACCUUAUGCAUUCAUGAUGGCUGUAUCAUCAUCGACAAUUUAUUUCUUGCUUAACCUGUGGAACAAUCAAUCUUAGGCUACAACCUUUGCACAAUUCAGAUGCUCGAUCAAGAUGUACACUUGUUGAGAGUUCUGUAUCUCCUGCUUGCUCCCUCUCUUCAUUGGAUGGCAUGUCCCUCUGUGCUGGCUGAAGUGGAGCAUCAGGGGAACUGUUUCUUGUUAGAAGUUCAUGUCCUGUAUCUCCUUUGUCUGCACUCCUUGUCUAGGGACGUAGAGAUGUAAGAGAUAGAGGCACAUGAGGUUGAUUUAAAUAGGUUCACGGAUGGAUAGAGGGAUGUUAUGGGUAAAAAAAAUUAAUU